GGCGGAGUGGCCGAGUGGUUUAAGGCAGCGGUCUUGAAAACCGCCGGGCGAUGAGCCCCGUGGGUUCGAAUCCUACCUCCGCCG
rnacentral:tRNA from 1 species